rnacentral:rRNA from 1 species
AGCGAACGCUGGCGGCAGGCUUAACACAUGCAAGUCGAACGCCCCGCAAGGGGAGUGGCAGACGGGUGAGUAACACGUGGGAACGUACCCUUUGGUUCGGAAUAACUUGGGGAAACUCAAGCUAAUACCGGAUAAGCCCUUAUGGGGAAAGGUUUACUGCCGAAGGAUCGGCCCGCGUGUGACUCGCUAGUUGGUGAGGUAAUGGCUCACCAAGGCGACGAACAGUAGCUGGUCUGAGAGGAUGAUCAGCCACACUGGGACUGAGACACGGCCCAGACUCCUACGGGAGGCAGCAGUGGGGAAUAUUGGACAAUGGGGGCAACCCUGAUCAAGCAAUGCCGCGUGAGUGAUGAAGGCCUUAGGGUUGUAAAGCUCUUUUACCCGGGACGAUAAUGACUGAACCGGGAGAAUAAGCCCCGGAUAACUUCGUGCCAGCCGCCGCGGUAA